AUUGAACGCUGGCGGCAGGCUUAACACAUGCAAGUCGAGCGGAGAGAGGUAGCUUGCUACUGAUCUUAGCGGCGGACGGGUGAGUAAUGCUUAGGAAUCUGCCUAUUAGUGGGGGACAACAUUUCGAAAGGAAUGCUAAUACCGCAUGCGUCCUACGGGAGAAAGCAGGGGAUCUUCGGACCUUGCGCUAAUAGAUGAGCCUAAGUCGGAUUAGCUAGUUGGUGGGGUAAAGGCCUACCAAGGCGACGAUCUGUAGCGGGUCUGAGAGGAUGAUCCGCCACACUGGGACUGAGACACGGCCCAGACUCCUACGGGAGGCAGCAGUGGGGAAUAUUGGACAAUGGGCGCAAGCCUGAUCCAGUCAUGCCGCGUGUGUGAAGAAGGCCUUAUGGUUGUAAAGCACUUUAAGCGAGGAGGAGGCUACUUUAGUUAAUACCUAGAGAUAGUGGACGUUACUCGCAGAAUAAGCACCGGCUAACUCUGUGCCAGCCGCCGCCGUAACAC
rnacentral:rRNA from 1 species